rnacentral:lncRNA from 1 species
ACUCUGCCCGUGAACGGGAUCAACAUGCAUGUGGCGGAGAAAGGGGAAGGACCGGUGGUUCUCUUGGUCCACGGCUUCCCGGAGCUCUGGUACACUUGGCGCCACCAGAUCGCCGGCCUCGCCGCCCGCGGCUACCGCGCCAUCGCCCCCGACCUCCGCGGCUUCGGCGACACCGACGCACCGCAGUCUGUGGAGGCGUACUCCGUCUUUCACCUCGUCGGCGACCUCGUCGCCCUCAUCGACGCCCUGGGCCAGGACCAGGUGCGACGAGCCCUUCCUCUUCAAUUAUCUAACGAGAAGACCGAUUAGAAAAAACCACGCAACGUGAGAUUAAGCUUUGCAUCGCAGGUGUUCGUCGUGGGGCACGACUGGGGGGCCUUAGUGGCGUGGCAUCUCUGCCUGUUCAGGCCCGACAGGGUGAAGGCGUUGGUAAACCUCAGCGUCGCCUUCUCGCCGCGCAACCCCAAGGCUAAACCGAUCGAGACCCUCCGCUCCAUCUACGGAGAGGACCACUAUAUUGUCAGGCUUCAGGUUCGAUAACCCACCCAAUCCACCACUAUUUCUCUUCCCGUGCUCAUAACCUAUGGUCUUGCGCGAAUAUUCGAGGUGAACCGGUAAAUUUGAUGUGGAUAUCUGACCGCUCUGAUGAUUUUUUAUCAUAAUUUCUCGGAAGAUGUCCUCGUAUAUUUUCAAUCUUUCUUCUCCGCUCCUCACUUUAGUAAGUUUUCAGGAACCCGGCGAAGCAGAGGAGUUGUUUGCGAAAUUCGGGGCGGAAUUCGCGCUCAGGAAGUUCUUCGCGUAUCGGACGCCUGGUCCGUUCUUCUUGACGAAGGAGUUCGGGGGCACAGCCGACGACCAAGUUCCUCUGCCUUCUUGGCUGUCGGAGGAGGAGAUUCGCUAUUCAGCGGACAAAUUCGCCAAGACUGGGUUCACAGGGGCAAUCAAUUACUACCGAUCCAUGGACAGGUAACUUGGCUAAAUCAUCUCCUUAUCGCGCUCCAAUUCUCGAAUUUCUCUUCAAAUCGGUACGGUGCAGGAACUGGGAGCUGUCGGCGGCGUGGACGGGAGCGCAGGUCAAAGUGCCCUCCAAGUUCAUCGUCGGCGAUCUUGACUUGUCCUACCACACGCCUGGUAUCCAGGACUUCAUCCACAAGGGCGGGUUCAAGAAGUUCGUCCCCUUGCUGGAGGAGGUGGUGGUGAUGGAGGGAGUCGGCCACUUCAUCAACGAGGAAAAGCCCUCUGAGAUCACCGAUCACAUCUUCGACUUCAUCCGGAAGUUUUGAUGCGCUCCUUUUUCCCCCGACGGCCGAAGCACGGCGUCAUGGAUUCGAAUAAAGCUCCCUCUUUUGAGCUGUUAAAGCGCGUUGACUCACUCCCUGGCUGUAAUGUGGAUAGAGCCCAUUCCGCACUCAAGUCGAGGUCUGAUCGGAUGGGCUGACCUGAACUUACAUGGAGUCCGAUCUGGUCAGCGUUAGUCGGUCAUAACCCAGACUGGCUGAGCGUAAGGACACAGGGGCGAAGGCCAGAAUCGGGACGCAGGCAGACAGCCUUCAGGCGGGGCCCGAGCGAGUGAGAGAGAGAGAGAGAGAGGACGUACGAGUCAGGUUGGACAACUGAGAAGCUACAGUCGUCUCUUUGGCCGACAGCAGCAGCUACACAGAGAACGGUGCUCGGAAAGAGGGAAAGAUGGAGGGCGUCCGCCACCGGAUGGUGUCAGUGAACGGGAUCAGCAUGCGCAUGGCGGAGAAGGGGGAGGGUCCCGUGGUCCUCCUCCACGGCUUCCCCGAGUUCUGGUACUCGUGGCGCCACCAGAUCGCCGGCCUCACCACCCGUUUGAACACCGCGCCGUGGCCCCGUCCUCCGAGCCUACGGCGACACAGUUCAGUAAACAGUGCUAAAGUUCGAGAGUUAAGUGGGACAGAGUUGAAGCUGUUUUUAGACGAGAAGAAAGGCAACUUCACAGUCAAACCCUAGUGAAUCCAUGAAACCAUCAUCCACUUAGAUUUUCACUUCAAAAUCCAACUCUAGCAAACACUAAUCAAGAUCAAUCUCAAUUCCCUCAAUGUAAGAACAUUAAAGUCAUAUAUAGCUUAAGGAGUGGGAAGAUUCUUGAAUACUCAAAUAAGAAAAGUGAAGAAGCGCAUAGACAAGUAGACAAGGGAACUUCAAAGAAUGUGGAGAAAAAAAAAUUUAGAACAAACCCAAAUUAGAUUAGUAGAAGAUGACCCAGAUAGUGAUGAGGAGGUGGAGCCAAAUAAGUUAAGGAUAAAGGAAAAGAUAAGGUGGAAAUGGACAUGAAUCCUUAAGAUUAUCAACCCCAAUUCUUAUUCCUAAAGCUUUAGAACCUCAGCCCAAAAAGAAAUGAGGCCAAAAUGAAGAGUUGAUGUAAUUAUUCAAAUAAAUAUGCAUCAAUAUUCCAUUGAUAGAUAAUAUAAAACAUAUGCUUAUUUAUGCUAAAUUUCUUAACGAAUUGUGUACACAUCUUAGAGGGCCUAAGAAGAUUGGAUUAUUUGCUGAAAUAAGUGAUGUCCUUGUUCAACAGCUCACCUGGCUCAUUAAGGGCCCAUUAUCUCUUCUUCUAUCUCCUCUCUCUCUAUUCUCCUAUAAAUACUUGUGUAUGUCCUUCUAGUUGAAUUUAAUUCAUUUUUAAGGUUUUUUCUCUCCUUUUUCGACACUCCUCAUGAACUAGCUCCCUAAAAAGCUUAAAGAUCUAGAUGUUCCUUUGAUUUCAUUUAUCAUAGGUGGAUUUACCUUUCAUAGAGCACUUCUAAACUUAGGAGCUAGUGUUAGUCUCUUACUCAACUUCAGUUUAUGAGAAAUUUUAAAUAGAACUUAAACCAAUUCAUAUUGCUCUUCAAUUAGCAGAUAGAUCAAUCAAAAUUCCAAGAGGAGUGCUUGAAAAUGUAAUUAUAAGGGUAUAAUAUUAUUAUUUUAUAAUUGAUUUAAUGAUUCUUGAUGUGAAUCAUCUUAGGAUAAUCGUAAGAUGAUCAAUUUUAGCUUCUGCAAAAGCUAAUCUUAAUUGUGCUACAAUAAUACUUUUGGUGGACAAAAAGUAUCUCUAUAUGGUUUUAGAGCUUCUAAAUAUCUAGAAGAUGAAAAACUUACAUAAUUGAUAUUUGAGAUCAUACAAUUAGUGUUUAAGAGGAUCAAGUAGAAGAGAUAUAUGCAUUCAUAGAUAAACAUUAUCCUUUUAAUGUUUAAGUGGGGAAGAACAUGCACGAGGAUGGUGCUCUUCAUCCAUGGCUUCUCCAAGCUCUGGUACAACCACUGCGGCUAUGGCGACACUGACGCGCCACCAUUUCUAAAAAGAAACAUGGCACUCGAGAUUAAGCUAUGACUGGAGAGGGGCCUCGAACUUUCUUUCUCUUGUUCUAGGAUACUGGAACUAAUGGUUCUCUAUCUCUUGAGAGUUAGACAUGCCAGAGAAUGUCUUAUCUUAUUGCUUAUAUAUUCCAUUAUGAGAUCUUGCAGCUCCUCCACCUCCACAAUGUCUGCACUAUCUAUUAAUAUUGACAACUGCCUCACUCGUAAUCGCUUACAAUAGCAAUAGUCACCGCAUCAUAUUUUAGAAAUGAGCCUCUAUAGCCUCUAUUUAGGGGACUACCGAAGUGAUUCACUCUUCCAAUCUAGCAAUACUCUUGCCAGCCAUUUCUAUCGUGAGUUUUGAUACUAAUUUCUUGUAUGGUGCCUCAUCAGACAAUGCACACAGCAGCCCUAUGUUGGAUGCAUUGUUCAAAAAGCAAAUCGGGGGUCCCACCAUGGCACAUAAUAUUGGCACAUAUGGCGUCUAUGAAUUGCUACGUUGUUGUAGGUCGUUCGAACCAUUAAAAAUAAAGCCAUUUUUGGUGCAAAAUAAAUGGCGCAAAAUUAUUUUUAUGCAAACGCCAGCGUAUCUGCGGCGUUGGCGUGUGGGGUCUGAACGGCUGGGACUCGUGAUUCUGACAAGGCCCAUUUCCUCCUGCUCAGAUAUGACGGGGCCGCCCCGGCACCGUCCUUCUCAGGCGACUCGUCAAAGAUGGAGGCGAGACUCUUCUUCCGAGACUGCCACGGAGUUUCAGGUUCGAAGCAUAUCGGGUUGUUCUUUAGAAAUGGUGACUGUUUUGUGAAAGACGGGAUCUUCCGCGUGCUGUUGCGGGAGACCCUUGUCGUUAUGUAUACAGACCAUCGGCGGCGUAUUUGCAGAGAGAGCUCUACCGUAGACUCGGAGUCGGUUGCCAGCUUCCGGCGCCAGGCGGGUCGAGGAAAUGAUGACGGACGGGAUCACGCACAGGACGCUGCCCGUGAACGGGAUCAACAUGCAUGUGGCGGAGAAGGGGGAAGGGCCGGUGGUGCUCUUGGUCCACGGCUUCCCGGAGCUCUGGUACACUUGGCGCCACCAGAUCGCCGGCCUCGCCGCCCGCGGCUACCGCGCCGUUGCCCCCGACCUCCGCGGCUACGGCGAUACCGACGCGCCGCCGUCCCUGGAGGCGUAUUCCAUCUUUCACCUCGUCGGUGACCUCGUCGCCCUCAUCGACGCCCUGGGCCAGGACCAGGUUCGAGGAACCCCUUCCUCUUCUUCCAUCAUCCAACGAGAAGACCGAUCUAUUCAGGGGAGGGGAGAUUGAGCUUUGCAUCGCAGGUGUUCGUCGUGGGCCACGACUGGGGGGCCUUCGUGGCGUGGUAUCUCUGCCUGUUCAGGCCCGACAGGGUGAAGGCGCUGGUGAACAUCAGCGUCGCCUUCUCGCCGCGCAACCCCAAGGCAAAGCCGAUCGAGACCCUCCGCUCAAUCUACGGAGAGGACUACUACAUGGCCAGGUUUCAGGUUUGCGAGCUCACCCUUCCCACUCUUUGUCUUCCCCAUCCGUAUAACGGACUCAUAACCCAUGGUCUUGCGUGAUUAUUCGAGGGGAACCGGUAAGCCUGAUGAGGAUAUCAACAGAUCUGAUGGGUUUUCUCGGAACAUAUAGUGAACUCCCGGCCGCCGUGUGCGCAGGUAGAUCCCCGAAUUUCUUCUCCGCACCUCAUUUUAGUAAGUUUUCAGGAACCCGGGGAAGCAGAGAAGUUGUUUGCGAAAUUCGGGGCGGAAUUUGUGCUCAGGAAGUUCUUCUCGUAUCGAACACCUGGUCCGAUCCUCCUGACGGAGGAGUUCUUGGGCUCACCCGGCGACCAAGUUCCUCUGCCUUCUUGGCUGUCGGAGGAGGAGAUUCGCUAUUUCGCGGACAAAUUCGAGAAGACGGGGUUCACCGGGGGAAUCAAUUACUACCGAUCCCAAGACAGGUGACUUGGCUAAAUCAACCGCUGUUUUAGAGUCAGCGGCGUGGUCAUCUCCAUUAUCGCUCUCCAAGCUUUCGAAUUUCUCUGCAAAUUGGUACUGGGCAGGAACUGGGAGUUGCUGGCGCCGUGGACGGGAGCGCAGGUCAAGGUGCCCACCAAGUUCAUCAUCGGCGACCUUGAC